GCGACGUGCCGAGAAUCCGGCCGGCCCCGCGCCGAUCAGGCUGCGGGCCGGGCCCGGUGUCGGGGUGGGCAGGGCCCUGGCCGACCCUUCCCGGCCAGAGACCCCGCGGCUUCGUCCACACCUUGACUUUCCGAGGGAACGCGGGGACACAGGGGCCCCAAGGCAGUUGGGGGCGCCCCGGGGCCCGGGGCACCUGGAGAUGCGCGGCUCCCUCCCGGCAGAGGAGGGCGGGCUCGCCCGCUCCCGGGGCAGGAGGUGGACGGAGGAGCCCCAGUCCCAGCUCAGACGGGUUCCCUCGCCACCUUCCGGACAAAGUGUCAAGUACAAGUUCAAGUUCAGGGCCAAGCCCAGGGGGUAGGGGCGAGCCUUCCCCGGCCUCCUUUGUUCUUCGAGAUAAUCGCUCCCAAAUCCCCUCCGGGCGGGGCCCGGCAGACGCCCCCGCCCCGCCCCGCCCCGCCGCGCCCCGCAGGAGCCGCCUCCUCCCGCCCGCCGGCGCGGCGCCUGUCCCCUGGUCCCGGCGCCCCAUCUCGGGGCCGCCGAAGGGUCUGGGGGCUCCGGCGGGGGGGAGGCGCGAUCCGAGUCCGUGGGAGCCUCCCCAGCCCCGCAGUCCCAGCAGCAAACCAAGCUUGGCCGGACGGAUGCUCACGCCGAGAAAGAAGAAUCACUCACACGGCUCAAAAUUCAAAAGGAACAAAACGCACACCGUGUGCCAUUUAGAGAUGAAGAAACCACGGCUCCGUGGGUGAGCAAGUCACCGAGAUCGAGAUGGCACAGCCAGAGCCGCAGAGCCAGACACGCGGACCCCGGGGGCCGGGCACUUCCUGAGAGCUUCCCAUAGUCCCAGCCUGCCAGGGCGAGAUCCCCAUCCGACCACCCAGUUGGCUAAGGACAGGGGUCAUGUCGACGCGGGAUGCUUCAGGAGAGGAGCUGCUUCCAGGCCUCCCGGAGCUGUGCCUGAUUUGCAGACCAGGGACCACUCAGGAGGUCCAUCCCUCACCAUGGGCCUGAGAGCCUUUCUCAAGCCCACUCUCAUCAGUUACCAGUUCCCGCUGCUGUCCUGGAGAAGAACCAAAACACUGAGACAUCCAAUGACUUGUCCAAGAUUACACAGCUAGGAAGUGGAAGAGGAGAGAUUCAACCCAGAUCUACUCAAACUCUGACCAUUCACGACAUCUGCCAGGAUCACUCGCUCCAGCUCCCUCCUGCUCAGGACUCAUGGGUCACUGACUCCCCCAGAGGUCGCCUGAGGUACGCCGGACUGUCUUCUGCCAGCCCAGUCCUGUGGGCCCAGCACACACCCUGCUCCUGCCCGAGAAGCUGCCAUCAGUUCAGCCCAGGGACUCUGUCUUGCUUGCCCAGGCCCUACAAAUGAGGGCAGAGGAGCAUCCUGGGAGAAUACAUAUGAGGAAACUGAGGUUCAAGGAAGUGAAGUGACUCGGCCAAGACCAAACGCGUAAAUAUUGGCAAAGUUGGAUUUAACCCCAAGUCUACCUGACUUGACCCUCACACAUCUGCUCUUCUCCCUGUGUCAAGAUGGCCAUGAACAAACCAAGGGUCACCCUUGGAUGUUGACAAGUGAAGACAGCUGUCUCUGGGCUUAGAUGCGACUGCA
rnacentral:lncRNA from 1 species